UAUCCUUAAACUUUUGUGCGUGUAUAUUGGUGUAUCCAUAAAAAUAGCUAUUAAGGCGACCAGGGAAAAAAAUCAUAAUUUUGGUCAAAAAUAGCUAUAUACUAAGCAUUUUUUAUUUGUUUUACUUUAUUUAAAGCCUAUUGUAUAUUAUCCCGAAGUUUCAUUCCAUAAAAAACAGAAAUAAGGAAAUUCGAUAUUUCGUGUACCAUCAGCAUCCAAAUUUUCAAGUAUACAGAAAUUUAACUUUCCGGAAUAUAACGGAAAUUUUCGGGUAUCUCCGUGGUACCAUCUCCGUGCAAUUAUGCAGUAUGGCGUUCAUCUCUUACGGAAAGAGAAUGGUAACUUGUUGCUGCUUGGGACAUUAAAGUUAAGUCAGCAACCGUCUACCAGACUGCAAGAUUCAUCUCUUCCAAAGGAUGUCGUACCUUUCCAGAUACACUGUGUUUUGUGUGGAUAAGAAAUGCAGAGUGGUACCACCAAUCACCUAAGCCACCAUUCCCCUAACAGACAAUAGGCUCAAGGGGACAGUUCCUGCAAUUUACAGAAAAGCUCUCAAUUGUAGCCCUACGAACUUAAGAUACUGCCGAUGGUGAAGCUUGGAUGCACCGGGCCGGUUUUCCAGGCGUGUGGAAUCUCCAGCUGAACUGGGGCCGGGAAUUAUAUUUAUAAGACUCCUUAGCAGCAUGAGUGCCAGCCAGUCAUUGCUGUUCUUGCAUUGCUGAGGAGGACAGUCCUGCCAACAUAACAGUUUGUUCAAUAACAGGAGACAAACAGAAACACAGAGGUGCUAUACAUUCUGAUGGAAAAACAAAAGCAUCUCCCAUCAUUUUGGCGUGGCUCAGAUCAAGAGGAGAAUUUUAAGAAAGGUGAUGGUUGGGCACACGCAAGAAGACAUAGAUCACAGGUGUCUAGCCAUAUGAGUGGGAGUGUCACACUCUGCCAAACUUACUUCAGAUAGGAGUGUCACACUCUGCCAAACUUACUUCAUCAGACGAGCAGAAAGCUUCUCAAGAUCCCGCACUGCACACUAAGACAUAGUCUUUGACUACAACAAGGUGAUGAAAGUACAGAGGUCCAAUUGAAAUCAAUUCUGUGCUGCUGUCAUUUCUUCAUUCUGGAAGUCGAUGGACAUGAUUUAUUAUGGCAUCAAGUGUGUAGUUUGCCGACUAUCAGCAGUCUUGUUCACCAGCUGUGCAACUUGAGCUGGUAGCUUUAUUGCUUGAAGCCACUGCAUAAGAGGGGGAAGGUGCAGGCUCAUCAAAAAGUCUCAAAAGUUGAAACUAGGAAAAGAAGUUUAUCAAGAGUGUGAAUCUAUUUUGAAAACAAUCGUUACAAUGAUUUGGUUUCCUUUGAAACUUCAUACAUACUAUGAAUUGAGAUGCUUAAAUAAAAAACCGCUAUUCAAAUAUCAGGA